rnacentral:piRNA from 1 species
UCCACAGUGCCAUGGGUUCCCUGCGUGGUC